AUGGCCUCCCAAAAUUGCGACCCAGCCACCACUAGCAUCGCAGCCUCCCACAAAGGAGCAGAGCCAAGCUGGGGUGCCGCUGGGGGUCCCAUGGGCAAAACAACAGGAGCUCAUGACUCAUAAUGUGUGGCAGCAAGGGCAUUUCUGCCUUCCCUGAAUCAGACCACCUUUUCACAUGGGUAGGGGCCAUCCAUGGAGCAGCUGCCACAAUAUAUGAAGACCUGAGGUAUAAGCAUAAGCUCUCACUAGAGUUCCCCAGUGACUACCCUUACAAUGCACCCAGGUGAAAUUCCUCACACCCUGCUACUAUCCCAGUGUGGACACCCAGGGUAACAUAUGCCUGGACAUCCUGAAGGACAAGUGGUCUGCCCUGUAUGACAUCAGGACCAUUCUGCUCUCCAUCCAGAACACUCUCCAUCUCCAGCCUACUAGGAGAACCCAACAUUGAUAGCCCCUUGAACACACAUGCUGCCAAACCCUGGAAAAACCCCACAGCUUUUAAGAAGUAUCUGCAAGAAACCUACUCAAAACAGGUCACCAGUCAGGAGCCCUGA
rnacentral:lncRNA from 1 species